rnacentral:rRNA from 1 species
AAGGAAUAUUGGUCAAUGGACGCAAGUCUGAACCAGCCAUGCCGCGUGAAGGAUGAAGGUCCUCUGGAUUGUAAACUUCUUUUAUCUGGGACGAAAACGGGAUUUUUAUCUCAAUUGACGGUACCAGAGGAAUAAGCACCGGCUAACUCCGUGCCAGCAGCCGCGGUAAUACGGAGGGUGCGAGCGUUAUCCGGAUUUACUGGGUUUAAGGGGUGCGUAGGUGGGCUUAUAAGUCAGUGGUGAAAUCUCCGAGCUUAACUUGGAAACUGCCGUUGAUACUAUAGGUCUUGAAUUAUCUGGAGGUAAGCGGAAUAUGUCAUGUAGCGGUGAAAUGCUUAGAUAUGACAUAGAACACCAAUUGCGAAGGCAGCUUACUACAUAUAAAUUGACGCUGAGGCACGAAAGCGUGGGGAUCAAACA